rnacentral:rRNA from 1 species
GCUAAUACCGCAUACGACCUGAGGGUGAAAGUGGGGGACCGCAAGGCCUCAUGCUAUAGGAGCGGCCGAUGUCUGAUUAGCUAGUUGGUGGGGUAAAGGCCCACCAAGGCGACGAUCAGUAGCUGGUCUGAGAGGACGAUCAGCCACACUGGGACUGAGACACGGCCCAGACUCCUACGGGAGGCAGCAGUGGGGAAUUUUGGACAAUGGGCGAAAGCCUGAUCCAGCAAUGCCGCGUGUGUGAAGAAGGCCUUCGGGUUGUAAAGCACUUUUGUCCG